AUUGAACGCUGGCGGCAUGCUUUACACAUGCAAGUCGAACGGUAACAGGGAGCUUGCUCCGCUGACGAGUGGCGAACGGGUGAGUAAUGCAUCGGAACGUACCCAGUCGUGGGGGAUAACGUAGCGAAAGUUACGCUAAUACCGCAUACGUCCUGAGGGAGAAAGCGGGGGGACCGUAAGGCCUCGCGCGAUUGGAGCGGCCGAUGUCAGAUUAGCUAGUUGGUGAGGUAAAGGCUUACCAAGGCGACGAUCUGUAGCGGGUCUGAGAGGAUGAUCCGCCACACUGGAACUGAGACACGGUCCAGACUCCUACGGGAGGCAGCAGUGGGGAAUUUUGGACAAUGGGCGCAAGCCUGAUCCAGCCAUGCCGCGUGAGUGAAGAAGGCCUCGGGUUGU
rnacentral:rRNA from 1 species